rnacentral:tRNA from 1 species
UCCAGGGUCGCCUAGUAGACAUGGCAUCUGCCCGGUAAGCGGAACACUGUGGGUUCGAUUCCCAUCCCUGGAC